rnacentral:lncRNA from 1 species
GCCUCUCAACAUCGUCAGGAAUGCCGAAUGAUUCAUUCAACACUUGAAUGAUAUCUUCCGGCUGCGUAUUCUCAAAACGCCUACUAAACUCAUCACUCAUUGCUGUCAAUAUGAUGCAUCGAACAGUGAUCCGAUCACUGAGCCACUUCUGAUAAGUGUCUCUGGCCGAUCUUGAUGCAUUAGCAGCAGGCUGCUCAGGUGCUUGAUCCGUUAUCACAUAAAGGAUCCUCUCAUGCUCUAGCACUAUUUUCAGUUUUCUAUACCAAUUAUUGAAAUUUGGACCAGUCAACUUGUCAUUGUCCAACAAUGAGCGAAGUGAUAAAUUAGUGGCCAUUUCU